rnacentral:rRNA from 1 species
GAUGAACGCUGGCGGCGUGCUUAACACAUGCAAGUCGAACGGUGAACACGGAGCUUGCUCUGUGGGAUCAGUGGCGAACGGGUGAGUAACACGUGAGCAACCUGCCCCUGACUCUGGGAUAAGCGCUGGAAACGGCGUCUAAUACUGGAUAUGUGACGUGACCGCAUGGUCUGCGUUUGGAAAGAUUUUUCGGUUGGGGCUGGGCUCGCGGCCUAUCAGCUUGUUGGUGAGGUAAUGGCUCACCAAGGCGUCGACGGGUAGCCGGCCUGAGAGGGUGACCGGCCACACUGGGAUUGAGACACGGCCCAGACUCCUACGGGAGGCAGCAGUGGGGAAUAUUGCACAAUGGGCGAAAGCCUGAUGCAGCAACGCCGCGUGAGGGAUGACGGCCUUCGGGUUGUAAACCUUUUUUAGCAGGGAAGAAGCGAAAGUGACGGUACCUGCAGAAAAAGCGCCGGCUAACUACGUG